rnacentral:pre_miRNA from 3 species
UCUUAUGGAUGAGCAAAGAAAGUUGUUUCUUGAGAUGGAAUCUACUCUUGGUGAAGAUACUGCAGAC